CUGGCUCAGAGUGAACGCUGGCGGCAGGCCUAACACAUGCAAGUCGAACGGCAGCACAGAGGAGCUUGCUCCUUGGGUGGCGAGUGGCGGACGGGUGAGGAAUGCAUCGGAAUCUGCCUAUUUGUGGGGGAUAACGUAGGGAAACUUACGCUAAUACCGCAUACGUCCUACGGGAGAAAGUGGGGGACCUUCGGGCCUCACGCAGAUAGAUGAGCCGAUGCCGGAUUAGCUAGUUGGCGGGGUAAAGGCCCACCAAGGCGACGAUCCGUAGCUGGUCUGAGAGGAUGAUCAGCCACACUGGAACUGAGACACGGUCCAGACUCCUACGGGAGGCAGCAGUGGGGAAUAUUGGACAAUGGGCGCAAGCCUGAUCCAGCCAUGCCGCGUGUGUGAAGAAGGCCUUCGGGUUGUAAAGCACUUUUGUCCGGAAAGAAAAGCGCUCGAUUAAUACUCGGGUGUUAUGACGGUACCGGAAGAAUAAGCACCGGCUAACUUCGUGCCAGCAGCCGCGGUAAUACGAAGGGUGCAAGCGUUACUCGGAAUUACUGGGCGUAAAGCGUGCGUAGGUGGUUUGUUAAGUCUGAUGUGAAAGCCCUGGGC
rnacentral:rRNA from 1 species